rnacentral:rRNA from 1 species
UACAGAGGUCUCGAGCGUUAGGCGGAAUCACUGGGCUUAAAGCGUGUGUAGGCGGAUCGUUAAGUACCUUGUGAAAUCCCACGGCUUUAACCGUGGAACUGCUUGGUAUACUGGCGGUCUUGAGCCAGCUAGGGGCUACCGGAACAAAUGGUGGAGCGGUGAAAUGCGUAGAUAUCAUUUGGAACGCCAAUGGUGAAAACAGGUAGCUGGGGCUGUGCUGACGCUGAGACACGAAAGCCAGGGGAGCAAACGGG